UUUUUCAGAUGUGUUAGCUAUGGUAAAGGGAGGUGGCAAAGCUUGGCCAGUCUGAAAAACCACAACCACCAUCUCCACACACACCAGGGACAGCAUAGAGGUCGUUCUGUGAAGGAAGUGGGGACCUGGUCCAGCUGUCUGCCUGCACCUCUGCAAUGCUGACCCCUGCUGCAAUGUGUAACUUGCAUUGAUUUCAAACAGCCAAACUUCUUAUCUGAAAAUCCUGGGUGAACUUAGUUGGUUUGUGGAGUUUAAUUUUUAAUACCGUUCACAUCCUCUAGCCAGCCAAAUACCAAGAAUAUCAAUAAAUGUCAAUAAUUAGCUCUGA